UUAAGUUUUUAAUUUUAAUACCUUUUUUAAUUGCGAUAGCGCGAUGGUUUGGUUUCGGCUCAGCCCUACGGCAUUCAAAAGUCACAUUAAUAAAGUUAUUUUAAGAUAACAAGUGCUAUCUUAAGAUAACUCUAUUAAUGUGAUUUCGGAAUGCGUGUAUAUUCACAUAAAUGUCUUGAUUGCAAGAUAACUCGAGUUAUUUUAAGAUAACAUAAAUGUGAUAAUUCUAUCUUUUCUAAUGCGCAUAUGUGUAAAUGAACGUUGCUUAGGGUGCGGAUACGUAAAGUAGCUCACAAAACAACAGCCUACAUGAAUUUCCGGCCGUAUUGACAUUUAUUUUGAUACGUCAUUUGUAUUGUCCUUGUGGUGUCGCGUAUGUGCUCUGCUGUAGAGUUCGCUCUGCGGUGGAGAACAAGAUGCAUUUUGUUAGUUUUGUGUUGUGAUGUAUUGUCCCGUGUUAAUUAUGUAAAGAGAAUAAUUGUAAUUUUGGUACUAUUUUUAGUUAAAUUUUCUGCACAUCUUGCACAUCUUUUUUCUGCGCAUUCAGUCUUCAACAUGUAAUGACAGAGUCGAACAUACAUUUUUGUAUAAAAUUUGCUGUUGAGUGAAAUUUUUCUUUCAUACAUCACAGGAGUUGUCCUGUAUCUCAGCGUCUGUUUUAGUUGUUUUCUCUCACAUGUAGUUGGCUUGGCUUACGCCACUAUAUAUCUAGUUAAAUCUUGGCAUUCAUUUUUUUGCUUUGCUAAAUUGUAUUUUUGGUAAUAUAGAACAGACAGCCAAUUACUGACAUGAAAAAUCGUAAGAAUAAUAUUAAACGAAGAUCCAUACAAUGUAAAUUGGAGAAACUGAUUACAUUACAACGAACAAGUGAAUGAUCAGUGAAAAACAAUCUAAGAAAUGUAUGGAUGCUGAGUCGUUUACAACACAUGUAAAAAAGUGCGCCAAAUAUAAUUUUUUUAAAAAAAUUCGCCGAAUUUAUGGAUACUGUGUCGUUGAUAGCAAGCACAAACUGUGUAUUUGCUUUCCCCUCUUGAAAAUUUUAGCGAAUGUGUGCAUAAGAGUUCUGUAACCAUGGAACCAAUAUACGUCUUAUGUGCCUUUAACAGAACACUGUGUGGUGAAAAUCAAUAUAAGAAUUGCGUCAAUGCUGUGGCGGUUUCACGCGCUGUUAGUAAAAGUAUGGAUGCUGUUUCUAACAAAACAUUAUAAUCAAUGCAAAAUGUUAUUUUUACAUUUGUUAAUGCUCGGGAACUGCAAUCUUUCUAAAAAGAGUAUGAAUGUCAUGUCAAGCAAAAAAGGUGUACUAAGCUAUGUUGUGGAAAUCAUUGCAGCAAAUAUAAGGUCGUGUUCCCAUAAGUUCUUAAAAAGAUGAUGGAUUUAGUGCAGCUCUGUCGGUAGAGCGUUUGAAUCAUCUCCUCUACUUGAGAUUAUAAGUUCAAUGUCCCCCCAUUGUCUAGUUAGGUUGUCAUUUCAUAAAGAUUUUUGUAGCAAUGGGAGCUAAACACUGGAAACCUGGUCCAUCCUAAAAUCCAUUGAGCACAGACCACAUUAAAUAUAAAUCACCAUCAGUGGUUUGAGGCAGAAUUGUAAGAGAAUUUACAUACUGGAUGGUUCUUUUGUUAUGAAAGUUUUUUUGCAGUAACUUUAAUGACUAAGGUGUCUUUUUAUGCCACUACCUGUACACAUGAUAGAGCUUAAAAGUACUGCCAAACUCUUUUUCCAUGUAUUG